rnacentral:rRNA from 1 species
AACGAACGUUAGCGGCGCGCCUAACACAUGCAAGUCGCACGAGAAAGGGCUUCGGCCCCGGUAAAGUGGCGCACGGGUGAGUAACACGUGGGUAAUCUUCCCUCGAGCGGGGGAUAACAUUCCGAAAGGAGUGCUAAUACCGCAUAAGACCACGGACUCGAAAGAGUCUGCGGUCAAAGCUGGCCUCUGUACACAAGCUAGCACUUGAGGAUGAGCCCGCGGCCCAUCAGGCAGUUGGCAGGGUAACGGCCUACCAAACCUAAGACGGGUAGCUGGUCUGAGAGGAUGAUCAGCCACACUGGAACUGAGACACGGUCCAGACACCUACGGGAGGCAGCAGUGGGGAAUCUUGCGCAAUGGACGAAAGUCUGACGCAGCGACGCCGCGUGAGUGAUGAAGGCCUUCGGGUUGUAAAGCUCUGUGGGGAGAGAAGAAUUAGUGGAGGCUAAUCACUCCAUGAUGACGGUAUCUCCUUAGCAAGCACCGGCUAACUCUGUGCCAGCCGCCGCGGUAACAC